GACAGAGGUGCCAAGCGUUAGGCGGAAUCACUGGGCUUAAAGCGUGUGUAGGCGGACUUCUAAGUCCCUUGUGAAAUCCCAUGGCUCAACCAUGGAACUGCUCGGUAUACUGCGAAUCUUGAGCCACUUAGGGGCUACCGGAACAAAUGGUGGAGCGGUGAAAUGCGUAGAUAUCAGGAGGAACACCGGUGGUGUAGACGGCUUUCUGGACCGUAACUGACGCUGAGACACGAAAGCGUGGGUAGCAAACAGG
rnacentral:rRNA from 1 species